GACGUAGGUGGCGAACGUUAUCCGGAAUUAUUGGGCGUAAAGCGUCCGCAGGUGGACAUACAAGUCUGCUGUCAAAGUGCAGAGCUUAACUCUGUAAAGGCGGUGGAAACUGUAGGUCUUGAGUAUGGUAGGGGUAGAGGGAAUUCCCGGUGUAGCGGUGAAAUGCGUAGAUAUCGGGAAGAACACCAGUGGCGAAAGCGCUCUACUGGGCCAUAACUGACACUGAGGGACGAAAGCUAGGGGAGCGAAAGGG
rnacentral:rRNA from 1 species